UACGUAGGGUGCUAGCGUUGUUCGGAAUCAUUGGGCGUAAAGCGCGUGUAGGCUGCUAUCUAAGUCGAUUGUGAAAUCCCUGGGCUCAACCGAGGAAGUGCAGUCGAAACUGGAUAGCUAGAAGACGGUAGAGGAAGGUGGAAUUCCAAGUGUAGAGGUGAAAUUCGUAGAUAUUUGGAGGAAUACCGGUGGCGAAGGCGGCCUUCUGGCCCGCUCUUGACGCUGAGACGCGAAAGCGUGGGUAGCAAACGGG
rnacentral:rRNA from 1 species